AGAGUUUGAUCCUGGCUCAGAGCGAACGCUGGCGGCAGGCCUAACACAUGCAAGUCGAACGGACUCUUCGGGGUUAGUGGCGGACGGGUGAGUAACACGUGGGAACGCGCCUUUAGGUUCGGAAUAGCUCCUGGAAACGGGUGGUAAUGCCGAAUGUGCCCUUCGGGGGAAAGAUUUAUCGCCUUUAGAGCGGCCCGCGUCUGAUUAGCUAGUUGGUGAGGUAAUGGCUCACCAAGGCGACGAUCAGUAGCUGGUCUGAGAGGAUGACCAGCCACAUUGGGACUGAGACACGGCCCAAACUCCUACGGGAGGCAGCAGUGGGGAAUCUUGCGCAAUGGGCGAAAGCCUGACGCAGCCAUGCCGCGUGAAUGAUGAAGGUCUUAGGAUUGUAAAAUUCUUUCACCGGGGACGAUAAUGACGGUACCCGGAGAAGAAGCCCCGGCUAACUUCGUGCCAGCAGCCGCGGUAAUACGAAGGGGGCUAGCGUUGCUCGGAAUUACUGGGCGUAAAGGGCGCGUAGGCGGACAUUUAAGUCAGGGGUGAAAUCCCAGAGCUCAACUCUGGAACUGCCUUUGAUACUGGGUGUCUUGAGUGUGAGAGAGGUAUGUGGAACUCCGAGUGUAGAGGUGAAAUUCGUAGAUAUUCGGAAGAACACCAGUGGCGAAGGCGACAUACUGGCUCAUUACUGACGCUGAGGCGCGAAAGCGUGGGGAGCAAACAGGAUUAGAUACCCUGGUAGUCCACGCCGUAAACGAUGAUUGCUAGUUGUCGGGCUGCAUGCAGUUCGGUGACGCAGCUAACGCAUUAAGCAAUCCGCCUGGGGAGUACGGUCGCAAGAUUAAAACUCAAAGGAAUUGACGG
rnacentral:rRNA from 1 species